CCUACGGGCGUCAGCAGUGAGGAAUAUUGGUCAAUGGCCGGAAGGCUGAACCAGCCAUGCCGCGUGAAGGUCAGUGCCCUAUUGGCGUUAAACUUCUUUUGUGCGGGAGCAAUAAUGGUCACGUGUGGCCAGACGAGAGUACCGUACGAAUAAGCAUCGGCUAACUCCGUGCCAGCAGCCGCGGUAAUACGGGGGAUGCAAGCGUUAUCCGGAUUUAUUGGGUUUAAAGGGUGCGUAGGCGGAUCGUUAAGUCAGUGGUCAAAUUGAGGGGCUCAACCCCUUCCCGCCAUUGAAACUGGCGCUCUUGAGAUGUCGAGAGGUAGGCGGAAUGCGCAGUGUAGCGGUGAAAUGCUUAGAUAUUGCGCAGAACUCCGAGUGCGAAGGCAGCAUACCGGCGGCGAUCUGACGCUGAGGCACGAAAGCGUGGGUAUCGAACAGGAUUAGAUACCCGUGUAGUC
rnacentral:rRNA from 1 species